AUCAAAAACAUAGCCUCUAGCAACACACAAGUAUUAGAGGUAAUGCCUGCCCAGUGACAUUGUUAAACGGCCGCGGUAUCCUAACCGUGCAAAGGUAGCGUAAUCACUUGUCUUUUAAAUAAAGACUAGAAUGAAUGGCCAAACGAGGUUCUACCUGUCUCUUACAAACAAUCAGUGAAAUUGAUCUCCCCGUGCAAAAGCGGGAAUAACACUAUAAGACGAGAAGACCCUGUGGAACUUUAAAUACAGAUCAACUAUCAUACCCACUCACUCUAAGGACCUAUAACUAAUUAGUACUUGACCUAUAUUUUUGGUUGGGGCGACCUCGGAGUAAAACAAAACCUCCGAAAAAAGAAUACACUUCUUAACCUAGACCCACAAUUCAAAGUGCCAACGGCAAAAUGAUCCAAUAUAUUUGAUCAACGAACCAAGCUACCCCAGGGAUAACAGCGCAAUCCCAUCCUAGAGUUCCUAUCGACGAUGGGGUUUACGACCUCGAUGUUGGAUCAGGACAUCCUGAUGGUGCAACCGCUAUCAAGGGUUCGUUUGUUCAACGAUUAACAGUCCUACGUGAUCUGAGUUCAGACCGG
rnacentral:rRNA from 1 species